AAUGCCGGAUGCUCCAUCACACCGCAUGGUGUGUUGGGAAAGCCUUUGCGGCAUGGGAUGGGGUCGCGUCCUAUCAGCUUGAUGGCGGGGUAACGGCCCACCAUGGCUUCGACGGGUAGCCGGCCUGAGAGGGCGACCGGCCACAUUGGGACUGAGAUACGGCCCAGACUCCUACGGGAGGCAGCAGUGGGGAAUAUUGCACAAUGGGCGCAAGCCUGAUGCAGCGACGCCGCGUGAGGGAUGGAGGCCUUCGGGUUGUAAACCUCUUUUGUUAGGGAGCAAGGCACUUUGUGUUGAGUGUACCUUUCGAAUAAGCACCGGCUAACUACGUGCCAGCAGCCGCGGUAAUACGUAGGGUGCAAGCGUUAUCCGGAAUUAUUGGGCGUAAAGGGCUCGUAGGCGGUUCGUCGCGUCCGGUGUGAAAGUCCAUCGCUUAACGGUGGAUCCGCGCCGGGUACGGGCGGGCUUGAGUGCGGUAGGGGAGACUGGAAUUCCCGGUGUAACGGUGGAAUGUGUAG
rnacentral:rRNA from 1 species